UUCCCUAUCUCCGAUUAUGGUUCCCUAUCUCUGAGCAUCUCACCUCUGCAAAUCGACCUCAACAACCAUUCUCAGUGAAGGUUCUGUCUCCAAUCGACAAGUUUAAAGUUCCCUAUCUCCGAUCGAUUGUCGCCGACGAACCCGGGUAAGCAAAGGAGAAGGUUAACCCUUGCAAAUCACCCCAGCGAAGACCAUUCCAGGUGAAGAAGCUCCGUCUUCGAUUGAUUCACGCCGACGAACCCAGUGUAACUUCUAUUAACCAAGCCGAUGGUCUGAGGUACGUUAACGUUAAAUGCAAAUGUCAUAGAAGAGCUACAAUCAAGGUAUCAGAGUCCAGAGAAAACCCCAACAGACUCUACUACACAUGUCCAAAGAUUGCACAGGAGAAUAAAUGUGUUUUUUUUUUUUUGCUUGGUGUGAACCAAUGAAUGUGACAACAGUUAGAAGUGAACCUUCAAACAACCCAAGCCCUCAUGAGUUUCAACAGUCGAAGGAUGAGAUACAUAAUAUGAAGAUAAGAUUGAAGCGGGUGGAGAGAUUCAAUGAAAAUUUUAAGCUGCUUUGACAAGUUGUUUUAUAUUUUGUGAUUGUGCUAUUGGUUGUAAUGGUUGUAAAAAUUUAUAAGUCUUUGUUAAGAUGUCUCUUUAGGAUUUUGUUAUCAAUGUACCUAGUAUGCAACUCUUUGAUGUUUGGCAUGGUUGGGAUUGUUGAAAGAACAUGUAAUUGAAACCACUAUGGUAAUUAGAAUGUGAUCUUAUUUCUACCA